CCCUGAUCUGAGCUAAUCCCACAGGCUAAUCUUGCCACUAGCUUGAGAGCCACAGGAAUCAUUCUACUCUCCCUCAUUGUGAGGAAUGGUCCCAAUGUUCUAACCCAGCUGCAGUCCCAAGACGGGAUACAUGUGAUAGGACCAUGUGCACCACUACGAUGGUCCUCACCACUAUUGCUGUCAUCCUAUACAGAAAGUUCUCAAACCGAGUCGAACCGCACAAUGUUGAUGAUACCAAUGAGGAGCCCUACAUGAAGAGCAAUGGAGUGGACCCUAAGAAAUAACAACCCUCACAGCAGGUGUAGCUCUAGUCUACAGUCUACAUGACACGAACUGAAGACAGGUCUUCACCUUGAUGGCUACACAUCUGUCUAGUUUGACAGGCAAACAUCCUAUAACCUAAACCCCAAAAGGGGUAUGUUACAGACAACAGCAGCAGCUCCAUCUCAGUCAUCUGGAAUUGAUGCAGCUGGCGCCAUUGUCUCUCCAGUGUUCAGAGACUGUGCAUUGCUAUGUGAAAAGCAUCUGGAAUUAAUAACAGGCCAGGGCAGGCCAGCACAACAAGAAUAUUUUUUUUAUUAUCACAUCUUCAAUCCCCCCAUCUGUCCUGCAGAUCCCUCUAAUGUUAUUUCAGCAGAGGAUUGUCCCAGGAGGCCUCCCUCCUCCUUCUUGAGGCAGGAGAAUUCCAUUUCUGGGAAUGAAACCUCAACCAAUCACAUCUUGAUGGAGCUGAAUCUACAGAACAACAUCUUGGGGGUUUCUUGUUUUGUAGAGUUGGAUGUUUUCUUACGGCUUAAAGUAGGCAAAUGAUCAAUGUAAAACUGUUGGAAUGUGUUCCGUGCCUCAAAAAACAGUAGUUUUCUUUGAUUGUCAAAAAGGGCUAUACAGAUUUGUGUCCAUUGAGUAAAUUAUAAUGGCUUUUAAAGAAGAGGCAGAACUUUAAAAUUAUGCACUUUAAAUGGUAGGAUGUUUUUGGUAAUCUUUCACAUUCCUAAAGUGACUUAAAUAUUGUUUUUGACAAACAAGGAGCUACGGAUAAGCAAUAUGUUUAAAAUGAAUCGCUUGAACCCAUAAAUAUUUGACCAAAUGUCAGAGAACAUAAAUGUCUUGUCGUGAAGAUGUGUGCACCAUGGCUACUCAAUCUGAAGAGCAAUGGAAAGAGGCAUUUGUGUUGUACCUCUCUGUCAACCCUCUCCAGUCACAAUGCAUUGCUAUGUGAUGAAAGAAAACCUGAAAGUGAAUCACCUCUUCCCCUACACCUUUAGCAUCCCGUUGGUCCCAUUGAAGGAGCAACAGUCAGAAAGAGGUGUGUUACUAGUCUGCCUAUGUUCAAAACACAGCUCCAACUUUACUUGACAUUUUUAAAAGCAGCUAGGGGUCACCUUAGUAAACGUCUGCCUUGAGUCAGAGCUUGGUGAUGAUGGUGGUUACUGGUAGGACGGUUUGUUACAGAAUCGACUUUCCUUUGACAUGUCGUCUUACAACCUGCUUCUUCUCUCUAAAGCAAACAUUAUGUCUGUUCUUCGCUCUCCCCACCUGAUCAAAUAAAGAGAUUGGGAAAAAUGUAUUUAGUUUGUACAUAUUUUUAUGGCCUUGGUUUGAAUUUUCCCUUGUUGUAGGAUACCUACUCCCAAAUGUUGCAUUGUAUGUACUGCAUGAUGACCAUUACUGUAUUACCACUUAAAAGAGACCCUUCAACAUG